GGGGGAAGGGGGUAGAAACUCAGGGUCUGGCUUUUAUUUUGACAGUAGAGAGUCCCAAAGUAUGUUGUAAACCUGGAGGGGGGAAGCAACCAGUAACAGCUUUGCAUUCAAAACCAGGAAUUUGGCAUAAAAAGAAGAUGGAACACAUGAAGUAGAGGUUUUCAUGGAUGAUAAAAUGAAAUCCCUUCCCCUGAAUUUGUUCUGCUGUAACAGACUGAUGCCUGAGCAGGUGCUGCGGAAUGAUUGCUUCCUCACAGUUGAUGUGAUUCCAGUUUCACUGCACCCAGGUGAAGAGUAUGAGCCACAUAAAAAACAAAAUUCUGAGACAACAGAUUGAAAAAAAAGUGAUUAACCAAGGAGAAUGGAGCAAACCCUACUCAAGAGAUGAAAACUUUUCCAUCAGGUGUUUUGAGACUUCUGUUUUGAAAUCAUUGACCUGAUCUGAAAUCCUAAAGUAUAAAAGGUUAUAUAUAAAUUAUAAAUGGUAGGUGCAUUAAUUUUUUGAGAUUA